rnacentral:rRNA from 1 species
ACGGAAGGCAGCAGUGGGGAAUAUUGCACAAUGGGGGAAACCCUGAUGCAGCGACGCCGCGUGAAGGACGACGUAUUUCGGUAUGUAAACUUCUAUCAGCAGGGAAGAUGAUGACGGUACCUGACUAAGAAGCCCCGGCUAACUACGUGCCAGCAGCCGCGGUAAUACGUAGGGGGCAAGCGUUAUCCGGAUUUACUGGGUGUAAAGGGAGCGUAGGCGGCCAUGCAAGUCAGAAGUGAAAGCCCGGGGCCCAACCGCGGGACUGCUUUUGAAACUGUAAGGCUUGAUUGCCGGAGAGGUAAGCGGAAUUCCUAGUGUAGCGGUGAAAUGCGUAGAUAUUAGGAGGAACACCAGUGGCGAAGGCGGCUUACUGGACGGCGAAUGACGCUGAGGCUCGAAAGCGUGGGGAGCAAACAGGAUUAGAUACCCUGGUA